GAUUCUAUUGGAAUAAAGGUUAGAGAUAGUAAACAAUAAUAAACCAGCAGUUAGUUGAAAACAACUCCAGUAACAAUAAAGCCAAAAAGUGGAUCAAAUUCAAAAUCAAUAAGGCAGACAGCUCCGCCAGUUCGUCGAAAAAUUACGAAGCCGAGAAAAACUGCACGGACUGCUGUGAGAGUAACAACGUCGCUCACACGAAGAUGCACUGUUACCACUUCUAAAACUCGAGUUGUGCCCAUGAAAAAAAAAACCGUAAAAAAGAAAUUUCAAUGAUCAUCCCGGGCAACUUGUACAAACCAAUUUUUGUUUUAUCAAAAAUACGUGCAAUCAAACAUACGAACCACAAUUAUGCUAAGCUGUAAAUAUGAAAACAUUAUUUGAUCUUUAAAAUUUGGCAAAAUUAUACGAGGAAAAUUAAAGUUAUACAAUGUGAUAAGGCGAAGUUACAAAAAAAUAAAUGCGGUAAUUCAAUUGCUUGCAUGUGUUUAUGUAUAUUGUAAUUGAUAAUGUGUAAUUAAAAAAAUGCCUAAAAUUUUUGUCGUGCUAUAUAGAGGUUCAGUUUAGUUCACAACAAAUAAAAAAAAAAAUAUUUCACUUACAAAGCAAACAUUAGCCAAAGUGGCAUCGACAUAUGACGAAGGUACGAUCUUAAACAAGUGUGGUUAUUUGAACAAAGCUGAUAAUCAACUCAGUGUACUGGUAUUGGCGCUUAGUAUCAACCGUAGGAUUCCAAUUUGCUUGAAUAUGUCUACGCCUUUUUAAGUCGUCAGGAGGUUCUGGCUAUCUGUUGCGAUUUUUUAUGAUUUAUUAUUACCAAUACUGCAGGCUACAGUGUUUAUAUUAUCGUACCUGGAUAUAAUCAACUAAACUGCGAUAUUCAAUCAUGGGAAAAAUUGUGAUAUACAACAUUGAACAACCAGUUAGUCGUAAAGCAACUGCAACAACAAAGAAGCCAAAAAGUAAAACAAGUUCGAAUACAUCAAAGCCGAAGACAGCUGGUCAAAAAAACACGAAACCGACAAAAAGACAACGGGCAGUGCAAAGUACAUCAGUAAAGUCUGUUGGGGUAACUAGGUCGGUUACAGCAAAAUAUACUGUUACAACUUCUACUAAAGUUGUGGAAACGAAAAAAACAGCUACAAAAAAGGCAGCCACGAAAAAAACAGCCAC